rnacentral:lncRNA from 1 species
UCUUUAAACAGGCAGCCAACACCAAGUUUUGACAAUGCAUUACAAACAGUGCAAAGCCUCCGGAGCCGAAUGCUCUGUGAAUAUCAGUGCAGCACUGAUAAGCUGGACCCUGAACCAGUAUCACCCUCUGACCACACAGAGCCAGGAACAGCCCUAUUUAUUUUCUUCAUUCCACCUUCUCCUGCCACUUUAAAAUGGGGGAGAGGGGAACGGCCUGUGUGCUGUUCUUCCAGAAGCUGGUGGAAAGACAUGCCCAAAACCGCUGACUUCGUCCAUGUAGCUUAUCAGCAGGGCCAUUUUGAACAAGUUAUCUAAGCUCAGGGCCUCAAUGUCCUCACGCGUAAGUGAUGGCUCCAGAGGGAGUGUUCUUCUAAGACCUGGUGAGAUUUCAGAGGAAGUUGUCUAAGAUGGUGCCAGGUCACCAGAGGUGCCAAUGCAGGACACA